rnacentral:rRNA from 1 species
GACGAACGCUGGCGGCGUGCUUAACACAUGCCAGUCGAACGGAAAGGCCCUGCUUUUGUGGGGUGCUCGAGUGGCGAACGGGUGAGUAACACGUGAGUAACCUGCCCUUGACUUUGGGAUAACUUCAGGAAACUGGGGCUAAUACCGGAUAGGAGCUCCUGCUGCAUGGUGGGGGUUGGAAAGUUUCGGCGGUUGGGGAUGGACUCGCGGCUUAUCAGCUUGUUGGUGGGGUAGUGGCUUACCAAGGCUUUGAUGGGUAGCCGGCCUGAGAGGGUGACCGGCCACAUUGGGACUGAGAUACGGCCCAGACUCCUACGGGAGGCAGCAGUGGGGAAUAUUGCACAAUGGGCGGAAGCCUGAUGCAGCAACGCCGCGUGCGGGAUGACGGCCUUCGGGUUGUAAACCGCUUUCGCCUGUGACGAAGCGUGAGUGACGGUAAUGGGUAAAGAAGCACCGGCUAACUACGUG